UCGCCGGCAAACAACCACACCCCUAAACCACGCAGAACCCCGCCCCCCCUUCGGCAGAUCGAGUAACGACCCACCACCAUCAGGUGGUGGUGACCGACGGUUCAAGCGAGAGAGAGACCGAGCAGAAGAGGAAAAGAGAGAAAGAGAACCGGCGGAGCCGGUGCCGUCGUCGACAACGACGGUGCCGCCACCUGCGGCGGCGGUGGCGGUGAUGACCGAUGAUGAUGAUGGUGUUCUGGUCCGACGAGCUUCAGGUUCGAGUCGUUUUCCUCGGCGGGGUUGAAGUUUCCACUGAUAAUCGACAUGUUGAUGAUGAUGUUGUGAUGAUAAUGUCGAUGGUGAGGGUGGUGUUUGGCUGAUGAUGACUGUAGUGGUGGCAGUUAUGUUUCGGUUCAUGUUUAGGUCAGGAUUCAAGACUCGGUUAAAGUUUCGGGUGUCGCGGUUCAGUUUAUUUUUGGCUCGGGUCAUGAUGCGGGUCAACUCGAUGUUCGGGUCAGCCGUUAGUCAACAGCAAGUUCACGUUUCGGUAUUCAAGUUAACUAUGGUCAACAAGUCAACGUCGGUCAAAGCUCGGUCAACCUGAGUUAACUCGGUCAAACCCAGUCAACUCAGUCAACGGCAGUCAACGCCCGGUCAACAACAGUCAAACUAGUCAACUCGGGUCAACAAGUCAGCCCCGAUUCGAUUACGGUUCAACUCGUUCUGGUUAUGGUUCAAGACUGGUUCGAAUGGGUCAACUGGUUUCGGUUCGGGUAUCGGGUCAAGACGUCAACUGGUCAAACUUUAGUCAAAAGGCGGUCAACUCAGGACCCGGUAAAGUUUUAACAAUGCGUUAAACUUUAUAUAAAGAUUCGUAGAUUUUUAGCUUACGCGACCGAGCUCGAACCAUCCUUUAUUUAGUUAUUAUAUACGUUUAAUUUUUGGCGUA